ACGUCCGUGAUGUAAUAGCAGCAUUGCCGGCUCCAACCCGGCAGGUCAGGGUGCGAAUCCUUGCGGACGUGC
rnacentral:tRNA from 1 species